ensembl:lncRNA
AUGUUUUGCCCUCCGUCUCCAGGUGUUCCCGCGACCACCGAGAGCUUUCUGACAGUUGUAGAGACAUCCACGCUCGGGGAGAGCAGCUUUGUACAGGGCAGCCGUAUGCAAAUGAGCCGAUCGAGCCGCGCUCUUAUCGCUUUUGAUUUUGCAUGCAGGAGAGGAGUGUUUUCAGUCCGUCUGCGAGCCCACUGCCAAAUUCCACUUCCUCUCCCGGCCAUGUCCCGCCCUCUUCAGCUAACGCCAGGACAGAAGAGGAACCAACCAGACUGCCCACACACCUGCGUGAGUCUCACACACACACACAUGAAAACACCCGGAAAUAGUGACUAACACACACACACCUCAGACAUGCUCUAUACAACAACCUGAGACACACACACACACACACACACACACUCUGACGUCACUGAACACACUCAAGCUGAGGCAGCUCCAGACCGGCCCUUCUGCCACAACACAAACCCAGAGAGAACAGCAGUUUGAUAGAGACAUAUGUUUAAACAGUAUUAUUUGUUUAUAUUAUAAUAGUAAUUAUAAUAAUAAUAAUUAUUAUUAUCAUUAUAUAUCAGUAAUAUAUAAUCAGAACCUUUUGGCCAAACUGUGCAGACUUACAUAUAAGCACAACCAGCCUCGAAUUUUAGUAGUAAUUAUUACAAUUUGUGUUUAAAUGUAUUUAAUUCAUUUUUAUUUUGUUUGUUUAUUUCUUUAAUUAUUUUAAAAUUAUAUAUAUACACACACACACACACACAUAUAUAUAUACUGUAUACAGUCAAAUCAAAAAUUAUUCAGACUCCAGAUAU